rnacentral:rRNA from 1 species
AUUGAACGCUGGCGGCAGGCCUAACACAUGCAAGUCGAACGAGUGGCGGACGGGUGAGUAAUGUCUGGGUAACUUCCUGCUUGAGGGGGGUAACUACUUGAAACGGUAGCUAAUACCGCAUACCAUCAGAUGUGCCCAGAUGGGAUUAGCUUGUAGGUGGGGUAACGGCUCACCUAGGCGACGAUCCCUCGCUGGUAUGAGAGGCUGACCAGCCACACUGGAACUGAGACACGGUCCAGACUCCUACGGGAGGAAGCAGUGGGGAAUAUUGCACAAUGGGCGCAAGCCGGAUGCAGCCAUGCCGCGUGUAUGAAGAAGGCCUUCGGGUUGUAAAGUACUUUCAGCGGGGAGGCGUUACCCGCAGAAGAAGCAACGGCUAACUCCGUGCCAGCAGCCGCGGUAAUAC